UGAACAUGACGAUAUCAAAGAGCAAUCCAUCAAAACCAUUGUCUACAAAAGUGUGCAACGCAAACGAUUUGACACAUGACAACAAUUUCAAUUCCACCGCAUGCUUUGAUUAGUCUGUGAAAUCGAUGACACAUAUAAGUUAGAUAAGUCACUAUCACAACAAACCAAUCUAUAAAUUAUCUAUAAAUUAUGGGACGAAAAAUUGGAUAGUCACUGUGAAUCGUGUGAUAUCCAUUACGCUGUUCUUGUUGACCGACUACAGUUUUAAUCAGCUGGAACACACAUGAAAUGAAUGAAUGAAACUCUCAGCAUCUCUAUCGCUCUUUCGAUCUGGUGCAGCGAUGGCCUAUGCACAUAUUGAUGCAGUUGCAAGGUUGUCGGUAGAUCGCAUGCGCGCGCUCCGAACUGUUUUCCACCUGUUUCAAUGUAGCACACGACGAAUUGACCGUCCCUGCGAGACAGUGUGGGCAAACAAUUUCUAGAGAGCGAACCUUGACCUCUCCACGUCUCCGUUUUCCUUCGUGGAUGUUUCGGGACGCUCGAUACCGUCAUAUGGAAAUAGUAGAGCCCCGAAGGAACAAUCCUGAACCAGAAAGUAUCCUGACUCGUUCAUUGGACAGUGAUCAAGUGCAACUUCAGUUUUUGGUCGUCGCCUACUGAGUGUCACUAGAAAUCAACACUCCGAAAGCACGAUAAAGGGCAUAACUGCAGUACCAGCGAUUAUCGGAAGAGCGCGGAUCGUGUGUCAACAAUUACUGCCAGUGCGUUAUUCAAUUAUCGUUUGCCCUACUUAUCGGAAGUAUUGCAUAAGGGCGAUAGAAGGUAGGAACUGCACGACAGGACGAGAGCGCGUACUGGAGAGUAAGAGAAACAGGAACUAGAGAGCACGAGUGUUGCAGCACUAGCAUGACUUCACCGAAAAUUCCAGCCGACAAAGCGUCAGCCAAUCCUCCGGCCACGAAACAGCAUACACCCGAGGCCAGCAAUGGUGGCGUGGAGAUGGGAACUGGUGCUGCAGCAUCAACUCUCGACGGCAUACGGCAUAGAGUUGAGCCGUAUGGAUUUUUCAGCUGGUUGAAGGUCUUCCGUUUUGCCAACCUGAUGAUCAGACAAGGAUGUUGAACAGCUCAAGUUUCGAAUUAUGAUUUCGUCUCGCAGUAGAUAAGAUGUUCUAGAAAAUUCCCAGUUGUUAUAAGAUUGUGGCAUAUUAGCUAAAAGUGUUCUUAGUUGUAACUCUAAAGUAGUUUAUCUAGAUUUAAAAUACUUUUAAACACCAUACGAUUCGCAAAACGUGUUUGUUAUUGACAACAAGAUUCUAUCAACUAAUACAUGAUCUAAUUCUGUGUAACAUAAAA